AACUAACGCUAUAUAAGUAUCAGUUUCUGUACUUUAUUGGUAUGAGAAGCUUCCAGACCGAAAGGCUGGCGAAAUUUUGGGGUAGGGCGGAGCCCUACAU
rnacentral:misc_RNA from 1 species